CCGGGCUCCACUUCCGCACCCCUCCGACUUUAACCCGGGUCACUGUCUCAGAGCCGGAAGAUGAAGUCGCCAUAAAUAACUUUUCUGUGAAUUCUUCCACAGGAAGUUCAGCCUGAUGUGAUCCUGCUUGUCAGCGCUGAAAUGAAAACAAAAUACCAGGAGGCCCACUGCGGGGGUUUCUCGGGCAGAGGGGACGGACGAGGACCUGUCAGCUUUACUGGAAAAUAAAACAUGAGGUCUUGGAGCCGGAACAGUGAGUCUACAGGCCUCUCAGGAUCCUGCUGCAGUUGAGACUCUACUUAGAAAUCUUCAGGAAGAAGUCAACCCACGAUGCCAGCUUCCCUAGGACCCCACCUCUGUGCCCCCUGCUGACUGAAGCUGAAGCAAAGCCGCUCCCAGCUGAGAAACACGCUAGGGCCUGGCUCUCAGGGACAUGGAGUGGCUCAAGCCACUUCCAGUUUUUGUAGUUCCUGCUGCAUCAAAAGGAACAAGAAACGACUCCCACAGUGUCAGCUCAACACUGUGCACGAGAGCUCAGUCCUGGUGACACGCCAUGCAGUUUCAGCUGGAAGGUGAUCUAAUUUGGUUCCCUUUCUCUCUCUUUUUCUUUCUUUCUUUCUUCCUCUCUCUCUCUCUCUCUUUCUCUCUUUCUUUUCUUCCUUCCUUCCUUUUUUUUUUCUUUUUGAGACAGUCUUAUAUAGCCCAGAUUGGCACUCUCCAAGUGACUGAGGCUGGCCUUGAACCUCUAAAACCUCUGAAGCCUUGAACCUCUGUACCUCUCAAGGGCUACAGUUAUAGUCCUGUAGCUCCAGGCUUGGUGGAGUGUUAGGGUUUACAUCUCUGACUGGCAGGUGAGGUCAGGAAAGGUUGUUCCUGAACCAGAAUAAAUGUUGAAAUCCAGUUCCUUCAAGGGAUUCGUCAGGCACAGUCCGAAGUGCUGUGCAGGCUGCAUGCAUGCUUCCAGUGUCACCGUAGGGAUGACACCAUGGCCAAUUGGGAACCUUAGCCCUGCAGAAGCAGGCUUGGCAAAGAGAUGCUCACUAUGUCAUGGCUGGUCCUCGCCCAGGGCUGCAGGCUGCAACCACCUGGAGUCUGGAAAGUUUUGAUACCAAGACUGCACUGUGGAGCGGUAAAGUGAGAACCAGACUGAGAGAAUAGGCUGCUGUGUGUGCUUGUGCAACUGUGUGCGUGUGUGGAAAACCUUGAUACCAAGACUACACUCUGGAGCAGUGAAGUAAGAACCAGGUGGAGAGAAUAGGCUGCUGUGUGCGUGCUUGCGUGCAUGUGUGCAUACAGUGUGUGUGCAUUUGUGUGUGUGUGUGUGUGUGUGUGUGUGUGUGCAUGCAUGUGUGCAUGUGCACUGCACAUGCAUGCAUGUGAGUGUCUCUGCAGGUGUGUACUCCAGAAAUCAACACUGGAUGUCUUCUUGAAUUGCUUACCAUCUUAUUUUUUUGACAGUGGCUUUCACUGAGCCCGGAUCUUACUGAUUCACUAGCCAGCAAGUGAGCUCUGUCCUCCCUACCUCCCCAAGCUGGGUCUAUAUAUGCACUAGGGGGCCUGACUUUUGUGUCAGUGGUGGGGGUCAGGCUCAGGUCCUCAAAUUUACAUAGUAAACACUUUGCAGGCUGUACCAUUUUUCCAGCCCCCAAAAGUUUGGGGUUUUUUUGUUUGUUGUUUUGUUUUGUGUUUUUUAAAGGUAGAUUUUCAUCAUGCAACCUUGGCCAGCCUUGAUCUCACAGAGAUCUGUAAGUUCUGACUAGGCCAGAACAAGACCGGAAAGGGCUUAGUGGAGUUUGAGGAAGUGAAAGAGGCCUGGCACCCAGGAAGAAGAG